GACGCUGGCGGCGGGCCUUAUGCAUGCAAGUCGAACGCACUCGACCUUCGGGUCAUAUGAGUGAGUGGCGAACGGGUGAGUAACACGUGAGAAACCUGCCCCGAAGACUGGAAUAACCCGGGGAAACUCGGGCUAAUACCGGAUACCCCCAAUUGAUCGCAUGGUCGAUUGAGGAAAUGCUCCGGCGCUUCGGGAGGGUCUCGCGGCCUAUCAGCUAGUUGGUGAGGUAACGGCUCACCAAGGCAACGACGGGUAGCUGGUCUGAGAGGACGAUCAGCCACACUGGGACUGAGACACGGCCCAGACUCCUACGGGAGGCAGCAGCAGGGAAUCUUGCGCAAUGGGCGAAAGCCUGACGCAGCCACGCCGCGUGAGGGAUGAAGGCUCUAGGGUCGUAAACCUCUUUCAGCAGGGACGAAAAUGACGGUACCUGCAGAAGAAGCUCCGGCCAACUACGUGCCAGCAGCCGCGGUAACACGUAGGGGGCGAGCGUUGUCCGGAUUUAUUGGGCGUAAAGAGCUCGUAGGCUGUUCAGUAAGUCAGGUGUGAAAACUCGAGGCUCAACCUCGAGACGCCACCUGAUACUGCUGUGACUAGAGUCCGGUAGGGGAGUGUGGAAUUCCUGGUGUAGCGGUGAAAUGCGCAGAUAUCAGGAGGAACACCAGCAGCGAAGGCGGCACUCUGGGCCGGUACUGACGCUCAGGAGCGAAAGCAUGGGGAGCGAACAGGAUUAGAUACCCUGGUAGUCCAUGCCGUAAACGUUGGGCACUAGGUGUGGGAUUUAACUAACAAAUUCCGUGCCGUAGCUAACGCAUUAAGUGCCCCGCCUGGGGAGUACGGCCGCA
rnacentral:rRNA from 1 species